rnacentral:lncRNA from 1 species
CAUAAAUUUCUCAAAUAGAAAUAAAUACUAUAAUACUUCUGAGUGUUUAAAUACUUUAAUAGCACAGAUAGGAUGUGUAUGAAGUAUAAAUCACAUAAUUUUAUUAAACAUAAUGAUAUAUAUAGAAAAUAAGGGUGUGGCAAAACACAUAAAAUGAUAAAAAAUAUGGCCUUUUCAUCAAAUCACACUAAAACAGACAAUACAGCCCAAAAGUCGCUUUAAUUUACCCUAAAUUUCAGAAAUGCUUUGCAUUUUCUUUGGUUCAAAAUAUUUUGAAGGGAUUUCGGUUGCAAAUUAAUUUUACAGAUUUUAUUGAUAAUUUAGAUAGCCUCUCCCCCUUUUUUGUAUUUUCGCAAUAAAUUGAGGAAAGU